rnacentral:rRNA from 1 species
AUUGAACGCUGGCGGCAGGCCUAACACAUGCAAGUCGAGCGAGCGGCGGACGGGUGAGUAAUUUCUGGGAAACUGCCUGAUGGAGGGGUAUAACUACUUGAAACGGUAGCUAAUACCGCAUACCAUCGGAUUUGCCCAGAUGGGAUGAGCUAGUAGGUGGGGUAACGGCUCACCUAGGCGACGCUCCCUCGCUGGUCUGAGAGGAGGACCAGACAAACUGGAACUGAGACACGGUCCAGAAUCCUACGUGAGGCAGCAGUGGGGAAUAUGGCACAAUGGGCGCAAGCCUGAUGCAGCCAUGCCGCGUGUAUGAAGAAGGCCUUCGGGUGGUAAAGUACUUUCAGCGAGGAGGCGUUACUCGCAGAAGAAGCACCGGCUAACUCCGUGCCAGCAGCCGCGGUAAUUC